rfam:Danio rerio chromosome 4, GRCz11 reference primary assembly.
GCCCAGCUAGCUCAGUCGGUAGAGCAUGAGACUCUUAAUCUCAGGGUUGGGGUUCGAGCCCCAUGUUGGGUG